AGGUUAGUUUUACCCUACUGAUGACAGUGUCGCAAUAGUAAUUCAACCUAGUACGAGAGGAACCGUUGAUUCAGAUAAUUGGUUUUUGCGGCUGUCUGACCAGGCAGUGCCGCGAAGCUACCAUCUGCUGGAUAAUGGCUGAACGCCUCUAAGUCAGAAUCCAUGCCAGAACGGGGUGAUUUCCGCCUGCACCAGUCGGAUACGAAUAGGCCUUUGGCCCAGAACCUUACCAGAUCAGCGUUGGCAGCUUCAUUGAAAUUGGGGCUGCUAGCUGGUGUAUUGCAAUUGUACAGUGCGCAGGAUUGAAUCCUUUGCAGACGACUUAGUUGUCUAGCCGGGUCGUGUAAGUAGUCGAGU
rnacentral:rRNA from 16 species